UAAACUAGGAUUAGAUACCCUAUUAUUCUAAGUGUUAUAAUAAGGGCCGGAGUAGUAAUAGCUAUGAUCUUGAAACUCAAAGAAUUUGGCGGUGUUUUAGUCUUGUCAGAGGAACUUGUCCCGUAAUCGAUAGUCCCCGAGGAAUUUACCCAAUUUUGAAAAACAGCUUGUAUACCGCCGUCGUCAGUAUAUAUCAGAAGAUUAUAUUCGAGAGGUUGUGAAAUAUAUGACAGGUCAAGGUGCAGCCAAUAAUUGGGAGGAGGUGAGUUACAAUAUAUAAAUAUAUUACGAAUUUUUUAUGAAAAUUAAAAUGAAGGCGGAUUUGGUUGUAAUUAAAUGUAGUUACUUUUAUUGAUAAAAGCUCUAAAACAUGCACACAUCGCCCGUCGCU
rnacentral:rRNA from 1 species